rnacentral:misc_RNA from 1 species
AUCCAAGCCUGGCGAUCGCCGCGCGGGUUUCGGGAUCGUCGGUCUCGAUGACGAGCUUGAUGUCGAGUUUUUCGGGAGGAUAGUCCAGCGCACCGAUGUACUGCAUCAGCGGCGCGACGGAUGAGGCCUCGCGAUACAGCGCUGCGAUCACGGUGUAGAUGGGCAACUGACUGUCAGGCAGCCGGGGGCGCUGACGCCGCCGUUUGGGCGGCGA